UUUAGAUUUCCCUCUAAGAUUUCACAAUGAACAUUCAUCUCUCCCAUUCCCACCCCAAUCGCUCUGAGAUUUCACAAUCAACAUUCAUCUCUCCCAUUACCCACCCCAAUCGCUAUUCUUUCGCUGAAACUGCUAGAUCGUCUCCUCUUAUCGAUUCCCACUACUACGCCCCUAAUGAGUCGCAACUGAGUGACCGACGACCACCAUUGCACCACCAGAUGAUCUGUCAUCGCCGCUCGUACCUUCUCACUCAGCUCCUCUUCGCUUCACUUCAGCCCCGGAAGAUCGUAAUACUGACCUAAUUUCUGGUGAUCCAAAGGAAGACCGAACAGAGGAGUGGUUCAAUCGCUAGUGAUUGAAGGGAAGACCUAGUUUCCUUAGAUGGAUAGAAGGGUUAAGAGCAAUUCAAUCGCAGUUUCAACCCACCUUCAAUCCUAGGUUUAUACAUGUAAAAGUGAAUCUGUACUAGCUGCACACAUUCCAUUCUCCAACGCAAGGUAUACAUUCUACAAGGAAAUGGAAAUCCCGCGUACGUUUGAGGAAAUAAAAAAUACAUUGUUGAUUCUAAUGGAAAAGUAUCUUUUGGCCAUAAGAAAUCAACCCUUUUGGACUCUUCGAAAGAAAAUGCAACAAACAAAUUGUUGAAGUUAUCUAAACAGUUUGAGUUCUGCUUAUAUGAGCUUGGCAUUUGGUUAGCAGCAAAGGCCGUAGAAGCCCAUUCAUGUGAACCAAUGAUCUUUACACUUGGGGGACGCCUAAUGUUCGUGGUGAGGCGAUUGCUAUAGAUUUCUGUAAAGACGUCCACAACACUCACUCAUCUUACAUACCUCCUGGCUGGUUGGUUCAUCAUAUAAAUAAAGAAAGUGUGCUGAGCCAUGGCUUCCUUGCAACAAAAGUUGUGUGUUUAAUUGAAUCACUUGCUGAAGUAGGCAUGUCAAUGACAUGAGAUGCAUAAUCUUCGUUGAGAGGGUGAUUUCAGCAAUUGUACUCAAAACCUUGUUGUGUGAGCUAUACAGCUGGCAAUCACUCUGUGAUGCAGUCACAGAGCCGUGGUGCUCAAAAUAAGAUCGUUGAUGAGUUUCACAAAGGCACUGUAUGUCUUUAUAUUUUUCAUAUCAUUGUUAAUGUUAUAAUGUCAUGAAACACUGGGCAGAUUGCACGAAAUUCACGGGGUUGUGUUUAGUCUAAACAGGUCAGGUCAGUUUCAGGUUGAACCCGCAAACCCGUUUAGCUAAACGGGUCAGGUUUGGGUCAACCCAGUCGGGUUGGCGGGUUGACCAUUUAUAUUAUAUUAAAAAUGGGUCGAACGGGUCGUGUUUGGGUCAGCCUAUGAAUAUUCGGGUCGUGUUUGAGUUCAUAUAUAUAUAUAUGAGGCGAUUUUUGGGUUCGGGUCGGGUUGAACACGUCAACCCGCGAAUACGAGCCGUUUCGCACCUGUUGUUUUGGAACCCUUUUUUGGUUUGGCGUGAAAUAGAAACCAACUGACAAUUUAUUACAAAUUGUAGCAACCAACCUCAUUUUAGCCUAUAUAAAACGUCAGAAGCAUAUAUACUUAGAGGAACAAAAUUAAUAAAAAAGUAAAUUUAGAAAACUAAGUAAAAAUUAGAAAGAAAUGUUUUUGUGUAAAAAAUUAUUAAAGGUCAAAUCAGAUGCAAUGUGGCAUGCACAUGCAGCAUAAAUUGACAGAUAGUCAAAUGUUGACUUUUUUUAGGUCAAUAUCAUUGUUUCAACAUCCAUUCUUUAAGAAGGUUUGGAUGUUCAGAGCUGCAAUCUUGUUAUUAGAUUCGACCUUCCGACAACAGUUUGUAGCUUCAUCCAAUCUCGAGGCCGUGCUCGGAUGAGGAACUCGGAUUUUUUAUCUUUGCUUAGUGAUCAUUACAUACAAUUUUUAUUUGUUCUUCACAUCAACACCAACAUCUUUUUUGCAGUUCUAAUGGCAAACAAAUGCAAGAAAAAUCAAAGUGUACAAAGUGAAGUCAAUAAAAUCGUUGUUCACAUGUUAAGGAAAUGUGCAUGUCUCAAAAAAGCAUGCACACAGCCGACCCAAAAAAUUUUGCUAGAAUUCGCGAAGAAGUGAAGAGAUGAGAAAUGAUGACUCAAACAAGGAAUUACAUAGUUAAACCAAAAUGUUUGAAGGUGCUCCUACAAGGGCCAAGGGGUGAGCAUACGAUGACACGGCGAUUUGAACAAUUGAAGAACUUCAAACCUCCAGGAGAUGGAAGUGCUUUGGUUGAUGAUUUUACAGACCGCUACCUUUGAUUUAUGGCGGAUGUGUUCCUAAAAUAAUGAUGAAAAAAUGGAUGGUGGCGUGGAAUCAUACAUAAUUUCGGGUGGGUUUAUGGAAUCAUUCAACGCGAGUCUUGAAGUUGAAAGAACACAACAAUGCGAAAAGAAGUUGAAAGGGCCAUCACAUGAAAAAAAAAACCUAAGCUAGAAGCUAUAUAGAAAGAUUAUGACAAACAACAAGCUAACUUUGAAGUUAUGAUGCGAAGUAUUAUGGAAAAACUACCUAAUGGAGUAUUAUAGGAUCUUAGAGAUGAUUAGGAGGUUUUCGUUACUUUUUAUCAUUGUACUUCACAACUUUAUUAUGAUUACAUUGUUCUUUUGAUUUUGGACACAUGUUAUAUUACGAUAUAAGAUUAUCUUAUAUAAUUAUGUUAUUA